rnacentral:misc_RNA from 1 species
AAUUAUCAACCUCUCCUAGCUUUUCUAUGAGCUAGUGAGAGGCUUGGAUGUGGGGGUUCUUUUGCUGGCUUCAAAGAAUGAGGUCGGCUCCCCUGAAAUGCAUUAGCGGAAUCCCUUGUGAACCGUCUAUUGGUAUGAUAAUUAUCUAUGCCGUUGACGCGACGCACUUUUGUAAUGGGUGUUCAGCUUAUAACAGUCCAUUGAAUUGGACAAUACUUAAAUGACA